UACAUCUCUACUGUGGGAAUCACAGGGAAGCUGCUGCAGCACAACUUGAAAUAGAAAGCUUGAUGGUAUGAAUUUAGGACAAGAACAUGAGAAGAAGGGCUCCAGAGAGGAUUCAUUAAGAGCAUUUUCUGCUCUUCCAGAAGCAUCCGAGUUUGGUGUGGGCACCCAAGUCAUUAGGCUCAGAGCUGCUUGGUCUGGAUCCCCUCGGGCUGCCACCAGGAUCACCAGAAAGUUUGUUAAAUAGAGAAGCACUUGAUAGAAGGCACCUGGAUAAGGAUGGACAGAAACCAGAGGCCUUGGCUAUCUGGAUUCUGACUUCUUCAAAAAGAUGAGAUGAUAGAUGAGAAAAGUCCGUCCGUGGUGUUAGAGACUUUGGCCCACACCCAUGCCGUGCAGCUCUGCCAGGGCCUACCUGCUUGACUCAACCCUUUUUGUUCCCUCACCCUCUCUGGGUAACUGAGAGAUUUAUACCUUGGCUAUCCUGGGAAUGUCUUUCUAAACUAAUAAAAUUGUUCUUGAGUUUC
ensembl:processed_transcript